ACAGCAGCCGCCGCGGUAAGACGAACCGUGCGAACGUUAUUCGGAAUCACUGGGCUUAAAGCGCGUGUAGGCGGGAGGGCACGUCCGUCGCUGAAAUCCCCCGGCUCAACCGGGGAACGGGCGCGGAUACGACUCUUCUGGAGGAACGUAGGGGGACCUGGAACUUCCGGUGGAGCGGUGAAAUGCGUUGAGAUCGGAAGGAACGCCCGUGGCGAAAGCGAGGUCCUGGACGUUUACUGACGCUGAGACGCGAAAGCCAGGGGAGCGAACGGGAUUAGAUACCCCCGUAGUCCCUGUCUCUUAUA
rnacentral:rRNA from 1 species